rnacentral:rRNA from 1 species
AACGAACGCUGGCGGCAUGCCUAACACAUGCAAGUCGAACGAGACCUUCGGGUCUAGUGGCGCACGGGUGCGUAACGCGUGGGAACCUGCCCUUAGGUUCGGAAUAACUCCCCGAAAGGGGUGCUAAUACCGGAUAAUGUCUUCGGACCAAAGAUUUAUCGCCUUUGGAUGGGCCCGCGUUGGAUUAGCUAGUUGGUAGGGUAAAAGCCUACCAAGGCGACGAUCCAUAGCUGGUCUGAGAGGAUGAUCAGCCACACUGGGACUGAGACACGGCCCAGACUCCUACGGGAGGCAGCAGUGGGGAAUAUUGGACACUGGGCGAGAGCCUGAUCCAGCAAUGCCGCGUGAGUGAUGAAGGCCUUAGGGUUGUAAAUCUCUUUUACCCGGGAUGAUAAUGACGGUACCGGGAGAAUAAGCUCCGGCUAACUCCGUG